rnacentral:rRNA from 1 species
AUUGAACGCUGGCGGCAGGCCUAACACAUGCAAGUCGAACGCGUGGCGGACGGGUGAGUAAUGUCUGGGAAACUGCCUGAUGGAGGGGGAUAACUACUGGAAACGGUAGCUAAUACCGCAUACCAUCGGAUGUGCCCAGAUGGGAUUAGCUAGUAGGUGGGGUAAAGGCUCACCUAGGCGACGAUCCCUAGCUGGUCUGAGAGGAUGACCAGUCACACUGGAACUGAGACACGGUCCAGACUCCUACGGGAGGCAGCAGUGGGGAAUAUUGCACAAUGGACGCAAGCCUGAUGGAGCCAGGCCGCGUGAGUGAAGAAGGCCUUCGGGUUGUAAAGCACUGUCGUCGGAGAGGCGGUACCCACAGAGGAAGCACCGACUAACUCCGUGCCAGCCGCCGCGGUAAUAC